UUCAAUUGACCUGGCACCCACAGCUUUCAGCAUAAUUAACCAUGACCCAGUUACUGUUUAAACACUCCCGCCCUGAAUGGAAGAUUCAAAUUCUGUGCUUUCAGAACCUGCUAUUGCACUCCAGCAGAGGACUCAGCCGUGCCCAGAUUCCCCGUCCUUAGGUAGAGGAGUCAUUUCUCAGUUUCUGCAAUGAUAAACUUAGCAAGGACUCGCAAUCCUACUGAUUUCAAUGGGAAUAUAUGCCGCAGAUGUAAAGCAAUGGGAAAGCAUCGUUGCCUUUAUUACCUAUCCUUGUUCCCAUUCGCAAAGGUGAUAAUGAGCCGCCUUCAUGAACUGCUGCUGUGGCGCUACUGAAGAUGCUGCCUGGCCUGCUGAGUUUCUCCAGCAUUUUGUGUGUGCUGCCUGGAUUUCCAGCAUCUGCAGAUUUUCUCUUGUUUGUGACUCCAGAGAAGGCGGAUCCUGGCCAAUGACAACAGUUUCAAGUUAUCAUAUAAUCUGUGGUAAAACAUGCAGAGGAAUAAAGAAAUUAA